rnacentral:rRNA from 1 species
UACGUAGGAUCCAAGCGUUGUCCGGAUUUACUGGGUGUAAAGGGUGCGCAGGCGGACUUGUAAGUCAGGGGUGAAAUCUCACAGCUCAACUGUGAAACUGCCUUUGAUACUGCAAGUCUUGGAUCCAGAAGAGAGUUGUGGAAUUCCGAGUGUAGCAGUGAAAUGUGUAGAUAUUCGGAAGAACACCAGUGGCGAAGGCAGCAACUUGGUCUGGUAUCGACGCUCAGGCACGAAAAGCAUGGGGAUCAAACAGG